AUGUUACAGCUCUCCCCGAACGCACCGCGUUUACCCAGGGUAUCGUUUGAAGCAAGCAUUUUACGUUAUGAGGAAGCUGAGAAUAGGAGAAAAAGCCGCCUUGCUGGCGGGUUGGAACCAGGACCCGUCGUUCCUGACUUGGACCAAAAUAUUUCUUUGCCAAAGAUACCUGUUCCGGAGAAUCAGGACAUACCAGGACCUUUCGUUCCAGAUUUGGACCUAAAUAUUUCACCGCCAAAGAUCCCUGUUCCGGAGGAACAGGAUAUUCCUCAGGAGCAGGAGGAAUACAUUCCACAAACAGAAAAUCCUCUUGCAGAGAGGCCAGUCUCAGUUUAUCCCUCGCAGGCCCCUGUUUUACCAGAGCAAAUGGAAGUGCCAGAACUUGACGAUGCUAUUCAAAUCGGUGGAGGUGCUGAGACAAUCCUUCCUCAGAUAUCGUCAACAACAGAAAAAUUGAUGGGGUCCAAAAGAAAAGCUUCUGAAACAGAUGGCACAAAAAGAAAACGUGCUUUUGUGGACCGUCUACCAGAAAGACCAGACGAAGUGCCGCAACCAGAUAUACCCUCAGACGUUCGUGUUUACACCUCGACAAAACCGGUUCUCAAUGAGUUAGAUCUUUCUUCAUUGAGGCUAGAUCCAGCAUCUCUCGGUAUGUCUCAAUUGAGAACUUCUUUUGUAAAGGGGUUUGUGAGGCCUGCAAUGCUGCUGAGAUUGUGCGAUGGAGUAAAUGAAAUUCAUUCAUAGUUGACAAAAUAGUGAGAAAAAAUUUGAGGCAGAUUCAGGGAAAAAUUCAUGAAAACUUUCGGAUAGGUCACUUUUAAUUAAUGAACAACAGGAAGUCUGCAACGCCGCAAACCGAUACACGCAUUUCUGCAGUUUCACCAUCGAUAUCGCCUAGUGAUCAAAUGCAUCAAAUCUGGAGAACAUUCUUCAAGAGCAGAAUUAGACCUAUUUAACAAACUGCUGGUUAAACUGUAGGAACGCUUAUCUCAGUUUUCAACAUUACAGACUCUCUACCAUUCCUUAUUUUUCAAAUGGAAAAAUACCCAGCAUCAUCUCUUAAAAACUUCCUUGGUUUUCUCUCUAUGCGUGAAGAAAAAUCUGUGAAAUUUUCCAGCAAUCGCACUGAUUUGUUCUCCUUUUAUGAAAUGAAAUGAGCGCAAAGAUUUUGAAAUUUUUGAAACGAGAUACACAAUCCUGCAGUUACAUUGUCAUUAUGCAAACUCCUUUUACUAAGUAGUUACUUGGAAGAAUUUAACAUCAUUUGCCAAGACAAGUACCCAAAAUUUGAUUUUUUUUUUUAAAAUGAAUAAUGAGCCAAUUUUUGUGAGCAGUGACGUGUGGUUUGGUCAAAUUUAAUCCUAACAGUCAGUUAUCCUCGAAUGUCAUCACAUUUCAUGUAAGUUUCUAUAAAUUUCCGUCGAGUAGAUUUCGGGUAGUUUAGUAACUUAUUCUCCAUCUUCAGUGAUCUAUACCUCCCCCCUCCCCUCAUUACUGCUCUUUGACAAUUAUUUCUUUUAAUCGACAGACCAACGAAGCAAAUUUUACUUGAUUUUCUGGAGAAUUUGUGGGCUGUGACAGACGCUGGAAUUCCUUUCGAAGCCAUCUGCAAGCCUGCACCCGCAGAUGCACCCAAGCCUGUGAACAGUUAUCCUAAAUUAGACGAUGUAUGUUUGCGAUCAACUGCCGCUCGCACCUUCACAAUCUUGAUGGGUAAGAAAUUUUUCUACACCUAACCUUCCCUGCAGGGCGAUUAUUGAAAUGACAUCGACUCUAUGUCGCCAUUUUGUCGUGUCGCGCCAUCCACUGAGCGCCUCUCAGUCGAUGGCGCGACACGACAAAGCGGCGACAUAGAGUCGAUAUCAUUUCAAUAGUCGCCCUGCUGGUGGAAAUAUUAAUUGGGGUAUGACCAACAAGAUGUGCAAUCCAUGGACAGAAAGCGCCUUUGCUGAAGAGAGGAAAAUCUGUUGUACGCAAUAGUGUAACUGACAGCUGGGUAUCUGCAUGUUGAGAUAGGAUCUUUCAACUUACUUGAUGAGUGGUUUUAAAUUAAGAGGCUGCAAUUAGAUGAAUGCGGACAAACUGCAGGAGUGAAGUAAAUUACAUGGACUGUCAUAGUAUGAAAAACCUGUAUUGAUUACAAUGUUUCAAAAAUUCAAUUUCAACUUUUUUUGAUAGAAUAUUACUGGAAAUUUCAACAUUAAAUUUUUAGAGGCUUUAUUUAUUUAUAAUUUACAAGCGUUGCCAUCUUAUCCAACUAAGUAUCUACACGUCUGUAAAACCAGGAAUUGCCAGAGAAUUUUGCAAGGUCUGGAAAAUCAGGGAAUUUUAUAAAAGUGACUGGAAAUAUGAAAAAUCUUGCAACUUAAUAUCUGAGAAAACAUCAGCACUGUCUACACAAUUGAACUGAGUCUCAAUUGGAUUUGAACUCGAUGCUCUGAAGAAGAAUAAUUUUCAAUUAGAAAUGGCAUAUUGGUCAUUUGAUUGAUCAAUACCCAAAGAAUAAAGGUUCACAUGUGUCUUGUCAUCUACUGCGGAGUUAUCUCUAAACAUUUUUCAUUUUUAGUUCUGCAACUGUAAAAUUGACAGUCUGAAAAGACAGAAAAUUUCGAUCAUUUUGAUUAGGAGAAAUCUGGAAAAGUCAAGGAAUUUUUUAGGGAUAGCCCGUUACAAGUUUUCUUGCAAGCUUACUGAGUCAUUUUUCUUUUUUCCUUUUCAGAAAUGCAAAGAGAAAAUCUUGUCCACCUAGAGCAAAGCGCUCCAGGCAAAAUCAUUAUUCUCUCUCCUCAUCAGUCAUAGACUCAAGAUUAUUUCUUAUUUUUCAGUCUGAAGUCUUGCUGAAAAUAAUAAUAAAACUCUAUUUUACUCUUUCAAGACAAAAACGUAUUUUGUUAUUUCAAGACAAAUUCUAUAUGGCUGUCAGAAAUCCGUUUUUAUAGACAAUUUUUUGCGAUAAAUAUUAUACAUUUAUCAAAUACUUAUCUAUUUUAAGGUAACUUUUGCACCCUUUUUAAUAAUAUCGUGUACUUAUUUCUUUGUUUCAAAUGCUGAAGCUGGAUUUUGGAUUAAUGUUUUCAUUGUUUAUUUUUUUCACUUUUAUUACACAUGCAAGCAUGACAAUCUCUUUCAUCUUCUCCUUCUAUUUUUUUCACUUUUUCUUGGGGGGGGGGGGAGGGGAAUCACAUUAUUUGAAUCGCCAGUGGUUGUCUUUUUUAAAUUUUUCAACUCAUAAUUGUUCUAAACCAAACCAAAUCAGAAUAUAAUUGAGAAAAAUACACUGAUAACUAACUGUGAGCAAAAAUCAAUGCAAGGAGCUAAUAAAACUACUUCUUUGACACUGUUUUUAUAGAAACUUUUUCAGACAAAAUUGAUACAAAUGUAUGUAUUUUACAUAUUUUUAUAUGUACUCUCUUAGGAUAGAAUCUUUUUAUUAAUUUUUUUUCAUGUUAGUGUUUUCAAAGGCUGAAACUGGGUUUCAGAUUAUAUUUAUUGUUGUUCUUUUCAUUUUUAUUUCUGCAAUGUGCAUUGCUAGUGGUUGUCUUUUUUUAAAAAUUAUUCAACUCAAUUUUGUAUCAAACCAAAUCAAGAUGAAAAUGAGGAAAAUAAAUUGGUACCUUAUGAACUUUUAAGAAAAAUCAACAUAAGAUGCUUAGAAUAAUAGAAACUAUUCUGAUAAUUACUUACACAUAAUGUGAUAAGUACCAUGUGAUAAUUACCUACACAAUACGGUCUUUACAGAAACGUCGUUAGACAGAUUUUUUACUCUCGUCAGAUGUGUGUAUUUUAUCUGUUUUUUAUUGAUACUUCUUCUACGAUAAAAUGUCGAACAUGUUUUCAGUCAUAUUGUGUUUAUAUUAAUGUUUUUCUAAUUCUGAAACUGGGUUUCAGAUUAAAUUUUUAAUUGUUUAUUUUUUUACUCUAAUAUACAUUAUUUGCAUCCGUAUUGUUAGUGAUUGUUUAUUUAUAAUUACUCCACUCAAUUUUGCAUCAAACUAAGUCAACAUUAAAAUGAAGAAAAUAAACUAUAGUCUAUGAUUCACAAAAUGACGGCUGGGGGUAUAGCCAAAGACUGGCUUGGUGAAUUGUUUCAGGGCGAAUUGCAGGUAUAUUUGGAAAGAACCCUGAGAUAUACAUUCAGAAAAUCCAGGCUUGCUGAAGCCAAUCAACUCUUAAACAAUAUUUUAUGUCAUUGACUGUAAUAACAAACUGCAAACACAUAUCAAUAAACGGCACUUACAGUGAUAAUGUAAGUAACAUGUGAUCGCCCUAAAGAUCCCUGCCGAUUUAAUAUCCUGCAUAGGUACUUGUGCAAAGAAGUAGGUUGGUUAUCAUUUCAAUGACUAUCUCAUAGUCCUCUUAUUCAAAAGUUUAAACAUAUUAUUUUCUUGGUGGUAAGUAUUUCAUUUUUAUAUUUGAUUCAAAUGAAAGGAAUGUGCAACUGUUGUGUUGUUAGUAUAGGAGAAAAUCGAUUGAGGGAAUGUUACCCAGAUUGGGCAACUACAUUUACCCCUACAAUGCUCCUCCUCAGACUACAUACCUAUCUGAUUCAUUUUUGUUAUUUGGGAAUAUUUCCUCUUUUAGCUGAAUCCUCACCAGAUGCUAACAAGCGCUGAGAUGUUGGAUACAUUUUUCUGAACUACUGGUUUUUUUUUAAAAUUUUUUGCUUACAAUGGAUCCAGUAGAUGUUCCUAUUCACAAAUCUAUUAUUUGCCCCCCUAGAUGAAGGUUGAAGUAAGCAAAAGCGUAAUAAAGAAUUUGAUUGUGUAGUCACAAAUUGGGGGCGAAUCCAGUAUUUUAGUAAAAUCUGUUUGAUGUCUCAUUGUUUACCCACUCCCGCUUUUGACACACCUUGUGGCCCCCCUUUCGAAUGCUGUGUACGACAGCCGAAUUGCCGCCGAAGGGGCGCGCGUGCGCUUUCUCGCGUUUACACUUAAACAUUAAUGCUUUCAAUUUGGCAACACUGAAAGUCACCCUGUUGCCAAACUGCGGCCGAUUAAGAAAAAAGCACUUGAUAUCUCGUCACCUUCCGGUCAAACUAUCACAAGUGCCAUGCAAUGUUUAACAAUUUCCUCCGCCAUUUUAUUUUUUUACAGAGAAACUAUUCAACGAAGCUGUCUGAAAAUUUCAUUGAAUUUUCUUUGUGCUGCCGAUAGAAUUCAGUGAAAUUUUCAAACAGAUUCAACUAAAAAUGUCUUCGUAAAAAAAUAAAAUGGCAUGGGACAUUUUCAAACGUCGCAUGGCGCUUGUGAUACUUUGCCUGGAAGGUGACGAUCUAUUCUAUCUAUACUAUAAGCUCCGAAACUGGUAACGCUUAGUUCCAGCGUUCUAUACCGGGCCGAUUUUCAUGAUUUUUGUGGCUAUCGACGGGCAAUUGUCUCCAGAUUAGCCCGUUUUAUUCAGUUUUUCAAAAUAUGACCCAGGUUUUUUAAACAUUACGUGGUAAAGUUGCGUAUUCUCCCAUUUAAACAAUGUAAAUUUAUUCAAUCGAAAUUUAUACUUUUUGUCAUAGUUCGUUUGAGCGUUCUACCGGGCCGAUUUCCAUUAUUUUUGCGUAAAUCGACAGGUGAUAGGCCCUAGAUGAGCCCCGCUAUAAUCAAAUUUUGGAAAAAGGACCCAGGCUUUUUUAAAAUCACGUUAUAAAAGUGAGAGAAUUUUCAG
rnacentral:lncRNA from 1 species